AGAAAAGGAAAUACACAAUUUAAAAAAAUAGAAAAAGUACAUUAGUAUUUAAACAUCUAUCUUAAAAUGUAAAUAUAUCUUAAAAUAUAAAAUUAUUAGUAAAUAGAAAGUAUAAGAAAUAGAAAUACACAAUAUAAAAAAAAAGUAAAUAUAUAAUAUAAGUAAAUACCCAAUUUAAAAAAUGGAAAAUUACAUUAAGAUUAAAAAAUAUAUCUUAAAAUUUAAAAUAUAGAUAUUAAGUAAAUAGAAAGUAUAACAAAUGGAAAUAUACAAUUUAAAAAAAAAAUUAAAAACGUACAUUAAGAUUUAAACAUCUAUCUUAAAAUGUAAAAUAGAAAUAUUAAGUAAAUAAAAAGUACAAGAAAUGGAAAUACAUAUACAGGAAAAUAAAUAAUAAGUAAAUAAUGUAAAUAUAUAAUAUAUGAAUUAUAUAUAUAAUAAUAAGUAAAUACACAAUUUUUUUUUAAAAAUGGAAAAACUUCAUUAAGCAUUAAACAUCUAUCUAAAAAUGUAAAAUAUAUAAUAUAAGUAAAUACACAAUUUUAAAAAAUGGAAAAAGUACAUUAAGAUUUAAAUAUCUAUUUUAAAAUAUAAAAUAUAGAUAUUACGUAAAUUAAAAUAUAAGAAAUGGAAAUAAACAUUUAAAAAAAUGGAAAAAGUACAUUAAGAUUUAAACAUCUAUCUUAAACUGUACAUCUAUCUUAAAAUGGUAGUAAAUUAUAUAAAAAUGGAAAUACCACAUUUGACAAAAAAAAUGUAUAGUUUUACAUCAAGAAAGUCCCUAUAAAACUCAUUAUUCCAUCAAUAUCA
rnacentral:lncRNA from 1 species